CUGGUCACAAUUAACUUUUUAAACCUAUGAAUUUUAAAUAACUUUUAUCAACUUAAAGUUGGUAACUUAAUAUCAGACUGAUAUCUGAUCCCCCAAUCAUUAUUAUUAUUGUCUUAAAAGUCUUUUUUGUUUCCCAAAUCAUGGGUCUGAUAGUUAACAAUGGAACAGAAUAUUUAAAGCUGUGAGUGUUCCAGAGAAUUCUGAUGCCAACAUUGUCAUAAAGCCCAGAAGAAGAAGGAAAGAUUUGGCUCUUUGUCCAGAGUUGAGCACUGUCUGCAAAAUAUCUUAGGAAGAACUUGAUCACUCCAAUAUUUCAAAUUGAGGGAAAAGGACUUUCUUAGCUUUGCAGUCUUCCGUGCUGAGGAUGAUGCUCAGCCAUACAUCACACAACCGUCACUUCAGAGUUGAAGAGAUUAGCCUAUGAAGUCCUGCCUCAUCCACCACGCCAACUGGCCACCAUGUCUUCAAACAUCUUGACAUUUUAUAGAAGUGUGCUUUUACAAGUUGCAAGCAACAGAAAAUGUUUCCCAGGAGUGUUUGUUGGAUCCCAAAGCACAAUUUUUAUACUACAGGAAUAAACUUAUUUCCCACUGGUCAA